UCAUUAUUGCUUUCCACUCUGGAAGAAGGUAGUCUGUCUCGGGGUUUUAGGACCUUCCACAUGCCAUUUACCCCCUUUCAAAUCUUACUGAAGAAUUUAUCCCUCUUCUUUUCCCUAUUCUCCAUCCUAUCAUGUGGAGCUCGGAUCUCUCUAUAAGACUCUGCCAAAGAUGAGUAGGCUAACUUAAGCCUAGAAAUGGUAGCUCCUUAUGUCUUCUGGUC
rnacentral:lncRNA from 1 species